rnacentral:rRNA from 1 species
UACGGAGGGUGCGAGCGUUGUCCGGAAUCAUUGGGCGUAAAGGGCGCGUAGGUGGCCCGGUCAGUUCGUGGUGAAAGCGCGGGGCUCAACCCUGCGUCGGCCAUGAAUACUGCCGCGGCUGGAGCACUGUAGAGGCAGGCGGAAUUCCGGGUGUAGCGGUGGAAUGCGUAGAGAUCCGGAAGAACACCGGUGGCGAAGGCGGCCUGCUGGGCCAGUUGCUGGACACUGAGGCGCGACAGCGUGGGGAGCAAACAGG